UUCAACGCCAUCGUCUGUUGACAGGCAGGUUUGAGAAACGCCAGCCAAAGCCCGCCGGGAGAAACAGACGUCUGAGCAUAGAACAGUAUCGGCUUCCUGUGUUGUCCAGGCCAUCAGAGCUAAUUACCCAGCACAAGAUGGGCAGUACCGUGGCUACCAGGAGACAGUAGAUGCCCAAGAUGAGCUGUCACUAUUUUGACUCUAGCAAACGCACACUACAUGUUUUAUUUUUGUAAAUAGUUCAUAUGUUUUCAUGAAUAAAACUUCGAAUUCA